UGAACAAGUCCAGGAGACAUUUCUGUAGCUCCGUUUGUUAUGAUAUUAUCCUGCUCUGGAAAGGAUUGGGAUCAUUUUCCCAAUCACAUACAGAACAUGAAAUCCCAUGUUCAUUGUGCUUCUUUAGUAACUAGAAUGGGUAGCUCAAAUACAAUGUUUAGAUGAGAUAUAAUGUGUAUGUGAAAUAUAAUUAUUGACUGGAUAAGUAGUCUGUUCUCUCUGCAAGAAACAAAAUAGAGGUGUAUUCAGGUUAGUAGAGUUCUUGCCUAGCAUGGACAAGGCCCAGAGUUAAA